rnacentral:sRNA from 1 species
AAAUAGAAUGAUGAAAGGAAUGAUGGAUGAAUAAUGAUUAACUAAUUUAUAUUUUAAGUUGAAUUUUAUAACUUCAAACUACAAAAUAUAGGGUUAGUCUAUCCAUUUUUAUAAUUCAUUUCAUACUUUAUUUAUCAUGAUUCAAAUGAUUAAUAAGUACUUACUUAAGCGACAGACUAAUCCUUCCGAUUAAAAAUCGGGGGAUUUUUUU